rnacentral:rRNA from 1 species
AGUGGCGAACGGCUGAGUAACACGUGGAGAACCUGCCCCCUCCCCCGGGAUAGCCGCCCGAAAGGACGGGUAAUACCGGAUACCCCGGGGUGCCGCAUGGCACCCCGGCUAAAGCCCCGACGGGAGGGGAUGGCUCCGCGGCCCAUCAGGUAGACGGCGGGGUGACGGCCCACCGUGCCGACAACGGGUAGCCGGGUUGAGAGACCGACCGGCCAGAUUGGGACUGAGACACGGCCCAGACUCCUACGGGAGGCAGCAGUGGGGAAUCUUGCGCAAUGGGGGGAACCCUGACGCAGCGACGCCGCGUGCGGGACGGAGGCCUUCGGGUCGUAAACCGCUUUCAGCAGGGAAGAGUCAAGACUGUACCUGCAGAAGAAGCCCCGGCUAACUACGUGCCAGCAGCCGCGGUAAUACGUAGGGGGCGAGCGUUAUCCGGAAUUACUGGGUGUAAAGGGAGCGCAGGCGGACCGGCAAGUUGGAAGUGAAAACUAUGGGCUCAACCCAUAAAUUGCUUUCAAAACUGCUGGCCUUGAGUAGUGCAGAGGUAGGUGGAAUUCCCGGUGUAGCGGUGGAAUGCGUAGAUAUCGGGAGGAACACCAGUGGCGAAGGCGACCUACUGGGCACCAACUGACGCUGAGGCUCGAAAGCGUGGGGAGCAAACAGGAUUAGAUACCCUGGUAGUCCACGCCGUAAACGAUGAUUACUAGGUGUGGGGGGACUGACCCCUUCCGUGCCGCAGCAAACGCAAUAAGUAAUCCACCUGGGGAGUACGACCGCAAGGUUGAAACUCAAAGGAAUUGACGGGGGCCCGCACAAGCAGUGGAGUAUGUGGAUUAAUUCGAAGCAACGCGAAGAACCUUACCAGGUCUUGACAUCGUAUGCAUAGCUCAGAGAUGAGUGAAAUCUCUUCGGAGACAUAUAGACAGGUGGUGCAUGGUUGUCGUCAGCUCGUGUCGUGAGAUGUUGGGUUAAGUCCCGCAACGAGCGCAACCCUUAUUCUUAGUAGCCAGCAGGUAAGGCUGGACACUCUAAGGAGACUGCCGGGGAUAACCCGGAGGAAGGUGGGGAUGACGUCAAAUCAUCAUGCCCCUUAUGAUCUGGGCUACACACGUGCUACAAUGGCGUAACAAAGGGAAGCGAGCCUGCGAGGGUGAGCAAAUCCCAAAAAUAACGUCCCAGUUCGGACUGUAGUCUGCAACCCGACUACACGAAGCUGGAAUCGCUAGUAAUCGCGAAUCAGAAUGUCGCGGUGAAUACGUUCCCGGGUCUUGCACACACCGCCCGUCA